CUCCCGGUGUAGUGUCCUCUCUCCCCGUGUAGUGUCCUCUCUCCCGGUGUAGUGUGUCUUUCCGAACGGACGAGGCGCUGUUAAACACACACUCGAUACUUAGCGCACACCGACCGUCAUUCUCUCUCUCUGCUUGGAGUGUAUUUGGAGACCUCCAUGGCCACGGGGAGUUGAGAGGGCAAGACGGAAAGGCUUGUUGUCUUUCACGUUUUAAUACUACCCAAGUUGUCCUUAUGCCGCGUUUCACACACUACUGUUCUCGCCACUAUCCCCGAUGCGGUGGAAAACGGGGUGCGGGCUUUCAGAUACGGAAGAACCUCUCAUCUCCAGCUGUUCUAGAGGUGUGGGUGUGACCGGUGCCCGACCCAGUGGUCCCCGACCAGAGACAUGAGUGUGGUCCGAGACCCACAGGGGCGUACAGGGGGUGGUAGGGGGCGACCAUCUGGGGGUCUAGGGGUGGGGAUGGGGGUGGACCCCCACAGCCACUUCACAGAGCACGCCCCUCGACCCCCUGUCCCUGGAGAAGAGGGGGACAACCGUGACCCCCACCACCUCCCCUCCAGCCAUGGAGGCCGCCCCCACCCAGUCCACCUGCUACCCCCCCUCCAAAACAGACCCCUCCUUCCGUAGUAGCGAGUCCCCAUCCUCGGCCACCCCCACCCCCAGGCGGCCGGACCUGGACCUAGGGUACGAGCCUGAGGGCAGCGCCUCCCCCACGCCUCCCUACCUGAAGUGGGCGGAGUCGCUCCACUCUCUCCUGGAUGACCAAGAGGGCAUCCAGCUGUUCAGGGGCUUCCUGAGACAGGAGGGCUGUGGGGACCAGCUGGACUUCUGGUUCGCCUGCUCUGGAUUCAGGAAGAGCAGCCAGGAGAAGAGGCCCAAGCUGGCCAAGGCCAUUUACAGGAAGUAUAUCCAGGAUAGUAACGGCAUCGUGUCGAGGCAGAUUAAACCAGCUACUAAGAGCUUCAUCAGAGACUGUGUGGUUCGACUGCAUCUGGACCCUGCCAUGUUCCAACAGGCCCAGACGGAGAUCCAGAGCACUAUGGAGGAGAACACCUACCCUCUGUUCCUGAAGUCAGACAGCUACCUGGAGUACACCCAGACAGGGGAGGAGAGCCCCAAACCACCCAGCGACCACAGCUCCUCAUCGGGUCCUGGGCAGCCUGGCUACCUGCCCACCCUCACAGAGGACGUAGAGUGGAGGUGCCGGGAGGAGGAAGAUGAGGAGGAGGUGGAGGAAGAGGAGAGCGGGGAUACGCAGGCCAGCAGGCUGACCCAGAGGUUGCUAAUGGAGACGGCUCCUCACAGAGUGUCGACCAAUCGGAGAGCAGGGGAAAGCCGAGAGUACAGACCAUGCAGAGAGCCGGUGGUUAACCCCUACUACGUGAACAUGGGUUCUGCUCGCGCCCCGGCAACCAGCGCUAACGACAGUGAACAGCAGAGCUUGUCCAGCGUCUCCGACGGCGACACACUGUCACUGACCGACAGCAGUGUGGACGGUGUUCCACCCUACCGGUAUCGUAAACAGCAUCGUAGAGAGAUGCAUGAAAGUGCCAAAGCCAACGGACGUGUGCCCCUACCUCACAUACCUCGUACGUACCGUGUACCAAAGGAUGUCCACGUUGAGCCGGAGAGGUUUGCUGUUGACCUCAUCAGUCGACUGGAGGCAGUUCUGAGAGAGAGAGAAGCACAGGAGAGACUGGAGGAGAGACUGAAGAGGGUCAGACUGGAGGAGGAGGGUGACGAUGCCGACGUCUCCAUGGUAAACUCCCUCCCCCCCUACGGCAACAAGCCCCUCCCCCCCUCCACCUCGUCCCUCUACCCCCACUACGGGUCCCGUUAUUCAGAGACCUCGUACAACGGUGUUCUGGCGCUACAGGACGCGCACGAGGAGAACCCGGAGGCCAUCUUGGACGAACACGUGCAGAGAGUGAUGGAGACGCCGGGGUGUCAGUCACCAGGCACCGGGAGACACUCGCCCAAGUCCCGCUCCCCUGACGGAGGGGUGUACCCUCCACCUCACUCUGGGAGAACCCAGUGGCCUCUAGGGGUGAAAGGUCACAAGCCAGGAGCCAAGGGAGGGGAUCCAACGGGGAUGGGAGCAGGUGUGUACCACCACAAGCAUGGCUACCACUACCCCCCAGGGGGCACCAAGCCCAAAGAGCCCCAGAUGGAUGAGGUGGUGCUGGGUGGAGGGGGAGGGGGAGGAGGCUCCAGGACCCAGGGGAGUGGCCUGUGGAACGGGGAGGCCCACCACUACUCUACCGGGAAGGGACGCAACUACGCAGAUGGGGCUGGGACCCUGGACGCAAUGGGCUAUAGUAGUAAGGGCAGCACCCUAUCGAAGCGUGGCUCUAAGAAGGGGGUGGAGCCGACAGGUAAAGGUGAUGAGGGGCGUGUCCAGGAGGCCCAGGUACCGCUGGAGGACCUGGAGAGAAACCACAAGAUACUGCAGUGGAUGAUGGAGGGGGAGGCACUACGACACAAAAAGAACACACACGGGAGUACCACAGGCUCCAGGAAGACCCAGGGGAGUGUGGAGCCGUUGAGACCCAGCUCUGUGGAGCGUCCUGGGGCAGUGCACCCCUGGGUGAGCGCCCAGUUGCGGAACAACGUGCAGCCCUCUCACCCUUUCAUCCAGGACCCCACCAUGCCCCCCAAUCCCGCACCCAACCCCCUCACUCAGCUAGAGGAGGCCCGGAGGAGACUGGAGGAGGAGAGGAGGAGAACCGCCCUGCUGCAGGCUAAACAGAGACAGAAGUCCCUAAGCAGUAAGAAGCAGGGGUCACAGUGUGAGAACGUAACUGUGGCGUACUACUUCUGUGGCGAGCCAAUCCCCUACCGCACCACGGCCAAAGGUCGCGUGGUGACCCUGGGACAGUUCAAGGAGCUACUCACCAAGAAGGGCUUCUACAGGUUCUACUUUAAGAAGGUGAGUGAUGAGUUUGACUGUGGCGUGGUGUUUGAAGAAGUCAAAGAGGACGACGCCGUCCUGCCCAUCUACGAGGAGAAGAUCAUCGGUAAGGUAGAGAAGGUGGACUAAAACAGGAAAUGGAGCCGGGAGGAAGUAGGAGGUGGAAGAAGAACAAUGACGCAGAGAAAAGACUGAACCGAAUCGGAUUAAGAGGAGGUGGAGAGAGUGCUUUUGGAAGAGGAGGAGCGGG